GCUGUAAACCAAGGCACCCCCCUACAAAAGGUGCCCGCCCGGGAACUACGAGCAACAGCUUAAAACCUAAAGGACUUGGCGGUGCUUCAGACCCCCCUAGAGGAGCCUGUUCUAGAACCGAUGAUCCCCGUUUAACCUCACCACCCCUUGCCCCCAACCGCCUAUAUACCGCCGUCGCCAGCUUACCCUGUAAAGGAACAAAAGUAAGCACAAUGAGAAUUACCUCAAAACGUCAGGCCGAGGUGUAGCGAACGGGGUGGGAAGAAAUGGGCUACAUUACCUGGGCCAGGAAAACUUACGGAAAGCCAGUUGAAACACUGACUCGAAGGUGGAUUUAGCAGUAAGAGGGGAAUAGAGAGCCCCCCUGAAGCCGGCUCUGAAGCGCGCACACACCGCCCGUCACUCUCCCCGACAACCAAGCUCCAGUCCUUAACCCAACUAACCUCACAAGGGGAGGCAAGUCGUAACAUGGUAAGUGUACCGGAAGGUGUACUUGGAACAAU
rnacentral:rRNA from 1 species